CCUACGGGUGGCAGCAGUCGAGAAUCAUUCACAAUGGGGGAAACCCUGAUGGUGCGACGCCGCGUGGGGGAAUGAAGGUCUUCGGAUUGUAAACCCCUGUCAUGUGGGAGCAAAUUAAAAAGAUAGUACCACAAAAGGAAGAGACGGCUAACUCUGUGCCAGCAGCCGCGGUAAUACAGAGGUCUCAAGCGUUGUUCGGAAUCACUGGGCGUAAAGCGUUCGUAGGCUGUUUCGUAAGUCGUGUGUGAAAGGGGCGGGCUCAACCCGCGGACGGCACAUGAUACUGGGAGACUAGAGUAAUGGAGGGGGAACCGGAAUUCUCGGUGUAGCAGUGAAAUGCGUAGAUAUCGAGAGGAACACUCGUGGCGAAGGCGGGUUCCUGGACAUUAACUGACGCUGAGGCACGAAGGCCAGGGGAGCGAAAGGGAUUAGAUACCCGGGUAGUC
rnacentral:rRNA from 1 species